rfam:Salmo salar isolate Sally breed double haploid chromosome ssa03, whole genome shotgun sequence.
UUCCCUGUGGCUCAGUUGGUAGAGCAUGGUGUUUGCAAUGCCAGGGUUUUGGGUUCGAUUCCCACGGGGGAC